GGUUAAGCGACUAAGCGUACACGGUGGAUGCCCUGGCAGUCAGAGGCGAUGAAGGACGUGCUAAUCUGCGAAAAGCGUCGGUAAGGUGAUAUGAACCGUUAUAACCGGCGAUGUCCGAAUGGGGAAACCCAGUGUGAUUCGUCACACUAUCGUUAACUGAAUACAUAGGUUAACGAGGCGAACCGGGGGAACUGAAACAUCUAAGUACCCCGAGGAAAAGAAAUCAACCGAGAUUCCCCCAGUAGCGGCGAGCGAACGGGGAGCAGCCCAGAGUCUGAAUCAGCUUGUGUGUUAGUGGAACGGUCUGGAAAGUCCGACGGUACAGGGUGAUAGUCCCGUACACCAAAAUGCACAGGUUGUGAACUCGAAGAGUAGGGCGGGACACGUGGUAUCCUGUCUGAAUAUGGGGGGACCAUCCUCCAAGGCUAAAUACUCCUGACUGACCGAUAGUGAACCAGUACCGUGAGGGAAAGGCGAAAAGAACCCCGGCGAGGGGAGUGAAAAAGAACCUGAAACCGUGUACGUACAAGCAGUGGGAGCACCUUCGGGUGUGACUGCGUACCUUUUGUAUAAUGGGUCAGCGACUUAUAUUCUGUAGCAAGGUUAACCGUAUAGGGGAGCCGCAGGGAAACCGAGUCUUAACUGGGCGUUAAGUUGCAGGGUAUAGACCCGAAACCCGGUGAUCUAGCCAUGGGCAGGUUGAAGGUUGGGUAACACUAACUGGAGGACCGAACCGACUAAUGUUGAAAAAUUAGCGGAUGACUUGUGGCUGGGGGUGAAAGGCCAAUCAAACCGGGAGAUAGCUGGUUCUCCCCGAAAGCUAUUUAGGUAGCGCCUCGUGAACUCAUCUUCGGGGGUAGAGCACUGUUUCGGCUAGGGGGUCAUCCCGACUUACCAACCCGAUGCAAACUACGAAUACCGAAGAAUGUUAUCACGGGAGACACACGGCGGGUGCUAACGUCCGUCGUGAAGAGGGAAACAACCCAGACCGCCAGCUAAGGUCCCAAAGUCAUGGUUAAGUGGGAAACGAUGUGGGAAGGCACAGACAGCCAGGAUGUUGGCUUAGAAGCAGCCAUCAUUUAAAGAAAGCGUAAUAGCUCACUGGUCGAGUCGGCCUGCGCGGAAGAUGUAACGGGGCUAAACCAUGCACCGAAGCUGCGGCAGCGACACUAUGUGUUGUUGGGUAGGGGAGCGUUCUGUAAGCCUGCGAAGGUGACCUGUGAGGGUUGCUGGAGGUAUCAGAAGUGCGAAUGCUGACAUAAGUAACGAUAAAGCGGGUGAAAAGCCCGCUCGCCGGAAGACCAAGGGUUCCUGUCCAACGUUAAUCGGGGCAGGGUGAGUCGACCCCUAAGGCGAGGCCGAAAGGCGUAGUCGAUGGGAAACAGGUUAAUAUUCCUGUACUUGGUGUUACUGCGAAGGGGGGACGGAGAAGGCUAUGUUAGCCGGGCGACGGUUGUCCCGGUUUAAGCAUGUAGGCUGGUUGUCCAGGCAAAUCCGGAUAAUCAAGGCUGAGGUGUGAUGACGAGGCACUACGGUGCUGAAGUAACAAAUGCCCUGCUUCCAGGAAAAGCCUCUAAGCAUCAGGUAACAUUAAAUCGUACCCCAAACCGACACAGGUGGUCAGGUAGAGAAUACCAAGGCGCUUGAGAGAACUCGGGUGAAGGAACUAGGCAAAAUGGUGCCGUAACUUCGGGAGAAGGCACGCUGGUGUGUAGGUGAAGUCCCUGCGGAUGGAGCUGAGACCAGUCGAAGAUACCAGCUGGCUGCAACUGUUUAUUAAAAACACAGCACUGUGCAAACACGAAAGUGGACGUAUACGGUGUGACGCCUGCCCGGUGCCGGAAGGUUAAUUGAUGGGGUUAUCCGUAAGGAGAAGCUCUUGAUCGAAGCCCCGGUAAACGGCGGCCGUAACUAUAACGGUCCUAAGGUAGCGAAAUUCCUUGUCGGGUAAGUUCCGACCUGCACGAAUGGCGUAAUGAUGGCCAGGCUGUCUCCACCCGAGACUCAGUGAAAUUGAACUCGCUGUGAAGAUGCAGUGUACCCGCGGCAAGACGGAAAGACCCCGUGAACCUUUACUAUAGCUUGACACUGAACAUUGAGCCUUGAUGUGUAGGAUAGGUGGGAGGCUUUGAAGCGUGGACGCCAGUCUGCGUGGAGCCAACCUUGAAAUACCACCCUUUAAUGUUUGAUGUUCUAACGUUGGCCCCUGACCGGGGUUGCGGACAGUGUCUGGUGGGUAGUUUGACUGGGGCGGUCUCCUCCCAAAGCGUAACGGAGGAGCACGAAGGUUAGCUAAUCCUGGUCGGACAUCAGGAGGUUAGUGCAAUGGCAUAAGCUAGCUUGACUGCGAGCGUGACGGCGCGAGCAGGUGCGAAAGCAGGUCAUAGUGAUCCGGUGGUUCUGAAUGGAAGGGCCAUCGCUCAACGGAUAAAAGGUACUCCGGGGAUAACAGGCUGAUACCGCCCAAGAGUUCAUAUCGACGGCGGUGUUUGGCACCUCGAUGUCGGCUCAUCACAUCCUGGGGCUGAAGUAGGUCCCAAGGGUAUGGCUGUUCGCCAUUUAAAGUGGUACGCGAGCUGGGUUUAGAACGUCGUGAGACAGUUCGGUCCCUAUCUGCCGUGGGCGCUGGAGAAUUGAGGGGGGCUGCUCCUAGUACGAGAGGACCGGAGUGGACGCAUCACUGGUGUUCGGGUUGUCAUGCCAAUGGCACUGCCCGGUAGCUAAAUGCGGAAGAGAUAAGUGCUGAAAGCAUCUAAGCACGAAACUUGCCCCGAGAUGAGUUCUCCCUGAGACUUUAAGUCUCCUGAAGGAACGUUGAAGACGACGACGUUGAUAGGCCGGGUGUGUAAGCGCAGCGAUGCGUUGAGCUAACCGGUACUAAUGAACCGUGAGGCUUAACCUU
rnacentral:rRNA from 1 species